AGUUAAUGAACUUGAAUAAGUAUAUAUUUUGAAAAUAUAAUAUAGAGUAAAAUUCUCUAUUAACUU
rnacentral:tRNA from 1 species